CUGGCUCAGGAUGAACGCUGGCGGCGUGCCUAACACAUGCAAGUCGAACGGGGUAUAUAAGCGGAAGUUUACGGAUGGAAGGUUAUAUACUUAGUGGCGGACGGGUGAGUAACGCGUGGGCAACCUGCCCCGUGCCGGGGGAUACCGCCUGGAAACAGGCGCUAAUACCGCAUAAGCGCAUACAGCCGCAUGGGUGUAUGCGGAAAGCUCCGGCGGCACGGGAUGGGCCCGCGCCCGAUUAGCCAGUUGGCGGGGUAACGGCCCACCAAAGCGACGAUCGGUAGCCGGCCUGAGAGGGCGGACGGCCACAUUGGGACUGAGACACGGCCCAAACUCCUACGGGAGGCAGCAGUGGGGAAUAUUGCACAAUGGGGGAAACCCUGAUGCAGCAACGCCGCGUGGGUGAAGGAGCGUUUCGGCGCGUAAAGCCCUGUCAGCGGGGAAGAAGAAAGACGGUACCCGACCAAGAAGCCCCGGCUAACUACGUGCCAGCAGCCGCGGUAAUACGUA
rnacentral:rRNA from 1 species